GAGCUUUGCAAAGACCUCAAGGCGUUCUCCAUCCUCUUUGGCUGCAUGUUUGACAGAUGCUUCUGACCCAUGGACCAAACCUGGUUCUGAGGCAUCCCAUAAUCCAAGGGUUUGUUUGGUUUUUUUUUAAAGUGCUGCAGCAGGAGGCAAUAUUGACUUUUGCAAAAUGUCCUCUGUAUUAAUUUGCAUUGAGUUUAAAAGUAAACCUGGAAGGCUGGUUAAUCUCUCAGGCCCAUUUUAAUUUGAGCUCUUGAAGUUUAGAGGUCAGGUCGGUGUGGUCUGCCUGCAUCACAUCUGGGCAGAGACUGUGCUGGCAGAAAAAGGAUAUGGGGAAAAUGUGCAUGUGGGGAGUUUCUGCCUGAUAAAGGGGAGGGGAGCAGCUGGCUGGAUGUUAAGACUAAUGGUAAGAUCAGGGGAAGAGAUUCCUAUCACUUCUCAGAUUGGUGUGACCAAAGCCAAGCUGGAGUGCUGGCUUUGGAGCAGAAGGACAAGGGUAAGCUCACCUCAGAGGGACUAACUGUGCUGAGGAGUGGAGGGAGUGCUGCCAUGGGCAGGGGAUGCAGGGGAUCUCACAGGGCAAAGAGAAAUAAGAAGGGAGCUCUGCAGGCAGAGCAUGUGAGACCAGCUCUGGGCUACUGCCUUCUGGAGUGGCUUGACAGAGGGGCUGUGUUUGGGCAUGUGGGUUUGCUGCUGUACAGCCCCUGAAAUCACAUCCCACAUCCCGAGCAGCUGAGGUGGAGGUUGCCCUGUGCCCUGGUCCUUGUUGCUCAGCACAGGUUUGGUUGCAUGGGGACAUGGACAUGUCAUGUCAUGCCAGAACAGCGUGCAUCGCCCUCCCAGCCGAGCUCCUGCAGGGCCUGGGGUGGUAGCAGGUGCCUCGCAGAAAAGCCAGAUUGGAGCUACAGAUUUGUGUGAUGAGAUCAUUCAUUGGAUUCCCACCAAAAAAUCAGCACUGCCUCCUGCAAACAGUUCAACCCUGCUGAGGGCAUCUGUGCUGAUUAUUGCUGUAGAUGAGUCUCCAAGAACGCCGAGGGGCUGAUUCUUCAGGGAAUCGAAGCCUGGCCACGUGUGGGUGGAUGAGAAAGUAAAUACAAGGAUGAAGAACUUGGUCAAUCAAUGCCUCCCAAUGCUGUAGUCAUACUUCUCAUCAUCAGAAUCAGGAAAAAUGGGAGGCACUGGAAAUGAGAAAAGCUGGAAAUGAGUACAAGUCAGUGGAGGUUUUAGGUGGUUUUUUUCAAUGAUCACCUGUGUGAUCAUCAUUUCACCACUCCCAAAGCAGCACAUGGCUUAAUUCAGAGUUCUGCAAGGAAUAAAUAUGUUGUUGCC
rnacentral:lncRNA from 1 species